UGAGGAAUAUUGGUCAAUGGACGAGAGUCUGAACCAGCCAAGUCGCGUGAAGGAAGAAGGAUCUAUGGUUCGUAAACUUCUUUUAUAGGGGAAUAAAAAAGAGGACGUGUCCUUUCUUGUAUGUACCCUACGAAUAAGGAUCGGCUAACUCCGUG
rnacentral:rRNA from 1 species